rnacentral:lncRNA from 1 species
GCUGCAGGCAGUCUGGCUGAAUGUGCCUUCCAACCUCCUGCAGGAAACACACAUUCACGCCAGGGUUCCUGAGUGGCAGGACAGCAGGAUGGCAGAAUGGCAGCUUGGAAGUCAUUCUUCUGAGUGACAGCUCUACCAGCAAACUAUAGGGGAGGCACCCCCUGAGAUGUUCCUGGGCCUCUUAGUCUCACUGCUGACACUUAAGGGAUUGCAGAGACGCCUGAGAUGACCUCCAAAUUUUCUGAAGCCCAUCUGGUCUGGGGAAAAGAAGAUUCAGACUGAGGAGGCCAGGGCUCCUUCUCUCUUGCUCCCCAGGAGCCCAUGGGAAAUGUUGAAGUAGGGGGCCAGCAAGUCCAUUCCCUGGUGGACACUGGUGCUGAGAGGGUGCCCCUUGCCCCUGCUAGCCAGCCUAUCUUCCCUUUUGAGUGGACUGACCCAGUUUCCAGUGACUCCUGCCAGCUCACCUGGACGUGGCUGCCUCAAGGAUUCAAAAAUGCAUCCACCCU